GGUUCGAUGGCGUAGUUGGUUAUCGCAUCUGUCUAACAUUGAAGCUCCAUCUUUCAGAUGUCAGCACAGAAGGUCCCCAGUUCGAGCCUGGGUCGAAUCA
rfam:Moniliophthora roreri MCA 2997 sctg_0075_0006, whole genome shotgun sequence.